rnacentral:rRNA from 1 species
UACGGGGGGGGCAAGUGUUGUUCGGAAUUACUGGGCGUAAAGGGCGCGUAGGCGGCCUACUAAGUCGGACGUGAAAUCCCUCGGCUCAACCGAGGAACUGCGUCCGAUACUGGCAGGCUGGAAUCCGGGAGAGGGAUGUGGAAUUCCAGGUGUAGCGGUGAAAUGCGUAGAUAUCUGGAGGAACACCGGUGGCGAAGGCGGCAUCCUGGACCGGUAUUGACGCUGAGGCGCGAAAGCUAGGGGAGCAAACGGGG